rnacentral:lncRNA from 1 species
CUGAAUUAUCUGAAGACAAAUUGCACCAUGACAACUACAAAAAGGCAUUUUCUUUUUUUGGAAACAGAUAAAUUAAUGAAAUAAAAACUAACUCGUAAGAUCAAUCUGAGACAUGCUGACAAAAAUUAAACAACUUUCAUUGACUCAUAGGAUAAAACAAUCAUUUUCAUUAUUUUAUAUUUAUGCAUAAAGUUUUAAAAAUGAUUCGGUGAACAUCAAUGGUUUUUAUAAAAUAAUGCUUUGCCACUGUUAUUCACAGAACACUGCAAAUGUUAAGUUUUAAUUUUACAUUUUUAAAGGAAUACGUGAAAAGUUUUAAAUACAAUGGGAUUUUAUCAUAAAGGUGCCGUGAUGGCUCUUUAAUGAAAAAAAAAAAAAGAUCUUCAUUAUUCUAUGCAAAAGCUUUAUUUAAAAAAGUUCAGUGAUCUCAUAAAUAGAGACACUAAAUAGGAAUUUUAUGCAUAAAACUCCUUAGUAGGUGCCUUCUGAUAGGCAGCACUAGACGGUUUACGUUCACCAAGGUCGUAACUGCCUUCAUCCUUCUUUCUCAUGCGAUAUACCAGCAGCAGGAUGAGGAAGAUUGCAAACAGAAAACCAAUAACUCCGCCAGCAAUAACAGCUGCCAGAACUUCUGUCCUCUGGAAGAGGUUUUCUGAAUGCUUUUCAGUGAACACAUCAGUGUCAUCCCCUGGCUCAUUGCUCUUUUUCUUGGAAUCCACCUCGGGUCUUUCCUCUUUAUCGAUUUCUUCAGGUGACUUUGUUUGUGCAGGCAUCUUGGUCUGCAUUUUCACUGUGGUGGUCUCAGCUCUAGACGCAUCACUCGUUGUUGGUAACUUGGGAACUAUUCUGGACGUUGUUGUCACUGUGCUAUCCUCAUCUUCCUCAGCACCUGAACCCGACCCAGAAGAAUAAUCAUCAUCAUCGAUGGGAUAGACGCCCGAUGCCUCUUCAACAGAGCUGUUGUCCAGGUAUAAAUCUUUAUCAGAGGUCAAAUCUGCUCUCGGCUGCCCGGAGGCACAGGCCACGAAGCUGAGGGUGAGCGCGAGCCACACGCACCGCAUUCUUCCCGCGGAGCCGGCGCGGCGGCCGCCUGUGGCCGGGCACAAAGGAGAAAGCGGGGCCGCGGCGCUCGGCAGCGCCCGGGGGCGCGGGCAGGGCCGCGGGCGCCCUCCGGCCCGUUCCGCUCCGCUGCUGUCGGCGCUCCGCUCCGCGCUGCCCGGCGGCACAACGCUGCGCGGCUCUGGGGCUGCCCGGCUGCUGCCGCCUCCUCCUCCUCCGCCGCCCUCCCGCUCGCUCGCUUCUCUCCUUCCUUCCCUCCCGCCCUCCGCCACGAGUGCGCGGCAGCGGCGGCGCGGCUCCCAG